CACGUGUCCUCUCUCCAUUUAAAGUUGGUGCAAAUGCGACCCAGUCGUCACUGUAUAGAAUAUAUAUUUUUAUUUAGCUUUCGUCGUUCAACGACCUCUUCAGAAUAAAAUAUGGUCUGACCGUUCGCUUAUAUAUGUGCAACAUACUAAUUACAACAAGACAUGAAUACUAAUGUAAAGCUAAUCAAAAUUAAUUAAGCCUGCAGUCCAUAGUUCCAGAAUAAAAGGAGAGUGAGAGAGUCCCAGGAGCACUAAAUAAAAACUGUAGCCUUGCCCUUGGAAUUAAUUUUGAUUAGUUUUAUACAUUAGUUUAAAAUACUCAUUAAUAAUUCGUAAACCUUGUGGCAAAUCAUGUCGGCCAUAAUAUGUCACGUGGAGUGACUUUAUAUUUGAUAAAGCAUGAGGCAUUAUAUAAUAAUUGUUCAUCCUAAUUAGUAUGAUUAUAUAAUGGUUCAUCCUAAUUAGUAUUCUUUUGUAGUCGUAUUUUAAGCUAUUCAAAAUACUCGUUGUCGUGUUUUAUCAGACAUAAAACGCUCGGCUGCGCCUCGCGUUUUAUAUCUAAUAAAACAGUCAUACUCGUGUUUUAAAUAGUACAUAAAUGUCUUAUUCUAAUUAGUAUGUUGUACAUAUACAAGCGAACGGCUAAGUUAACGACAAAAGCUAAAUAAAAAUAUAUAUUCUUCACAGCAACGACCGAGCCGCAUUUGCACCAACUUUAUAUAGCAGAAUGUUACUGAAGAUACCUUCCACCGUCUCGCUUCAUUUCUUUUUCUCUCUAUCCUCACUCUCUGUCAUUCCCUUUCUUUCUUACUUCCCCAUGUUUAUUUAUCUCCACACCCUCUCCUUCCAACCUUCAUCCUUCCCUCCCCACACCCUCUCCUUGCAACCUUCAUCCUUCCCUCCCCACACCCUCUCCUUCCAAACCUUUAUCCUUCCCUCCCCACACCCUCUCCUUCCAACCUUCAUCCUUCCCUCCCCACACCCUCUCCUUCCA